UUAAGCGACUAAGCGUACACGGUGGAUGCCCUGGCAGUCAGAGGCGAUGAAGGACGUGCUAAUCUGCGAAAAGCGCCGGCGAGGUGAUAUGAACCUUUGACCCGGCGAUGUCCGAAUGGGGAAACCCAGUGUGAUUCGUCACACUAUCGUUAACUGAAUACAUAGGUUAACGAGGCGAACCGGGGGAACUGAAACAUCUAAGUACCCCGAGGAAAAGAAAUCAACCGAGAUUCCCCCAGUAGCGGCGAGCGAACGGGGAGCAGCCCAGAGUCUGAAUCAGCUUGUGUGUUAGUGGAAGCGUCUGGAAAGUCGCACGGUACAGGGUGACAGUCCCGUACACGAAAACGCACAGGUUGUGAACUCGAAGAGUAGGGCGGGACACGUGGUAUCCUGUCUGAAUAUGGGGGGACCAUCCUCCAAGGCUAAAUACUCCUGACUGACCGAUAGUGAACCAGUACCGUGAGGGAAAGGCGAAAAGAACCCCGGCGAGGGGAGUGAAAAAGAACCUGAAACCGUGUACGUACAAGCAGUGGGAGCACCUUCGUGGUGUGACUGCGUACCUUUUGUAUAAUGGGUCAGCGACUUAUAUUCUGUAGCAAGGUUAACCGUAUAGGGGAGCCGAAGGGAAACCGAGUCUUAACUGGGCGUUAAGUUGCAGGGUAUAGACCCGAAACCCGGUGAUCUAGCCAUGGGCAGGUUGAAGGUUGGGUAACACUAACUGGAGGACCGAACCGACUAAUGUUGAAAAAUUAGCGGAUGACUUGUGGCUGGGGGUGAAAGGCCAAUCAAACCGGGAGAUAGCUGGUUCUCCCCGAAAGCUAUUUAGGUAGCGCCUCGUGAACUCAUCUUCGGGGGUAGAGCACUGUUUCGGCUAGGGGGCCAUCCCGGCUUACCAACCCGAUGCAAACUACGAAUACCGAAGAAUGUUAUCACGGGAGACACACGGCGGGUGCUAACGUCCGUCGUGAAGAGGGAAACAACCCAGACCGCCAGCUAAGGUCCCAAAGUCAUGGUUAAGUGGGAAACGAUGUGGGAAGGCACAGACAGCCAGGAUGUUGGCUUAGAAGCAGCCAUCAUUUAAAGAAAGCGUAAUAGCUCACUGGUCGAGUCGGCCUGCGCGGAAGAUGUAACGGGGCUAAACCAUGCACCGAAGCUGCGGCAGCGACACUAUGUGUUGUUGGGUAGGGGAGCGUUCUGUAAGCCGUUGAAGGUGGCCUGUGAGGGUUGCUGGAGGUAUCAGAAGUGCGAAUGCUGACAUAAGUAACGAUAAAGCGGGUGAAAAGCCCGCUCGCCGGAAGACCAAGGGUUCCUGUCCAACGUUAAUCGGGGCAGGGUGAGUCGACCCCUAAGGCGAGGCCGAAAGGCGUAGUCGAUGGGAAACAGGUUAAUAUUCCUGUACUUGGUGUUACUGCGAAGGGGGGACGGAGAAGGCUAUGUUAGCCGGGCGACGGUUGUCCCGGUUUAAGCAUGUAGGCGGAACGAUUAGGUAAAUCCGGUCGUUUAUUAACGCUGAGGUGUGAUGACGAGGCACUACGGUGCUGAAGUAACAAAUGCCCUGCUUCCAGGAAAAGCCUCUAAGCAUCAGGUAACAUCAAAUCGUACCCCAAACCGACACAGGUGGUCAGGUAGAGAAUACCAAGGCGCUUGAGAGAACUCGGGUGAAGGAACUAGGCAAAAUGGUGCCGUAACUUCGGGAGAAGGCACGCUGAUAUGUAGGUGAAGCCCCUGCGGGUGGAGCUGAAAUCAGUCGAAGAUACCAGCUGGCUGCAACUGUUUAUUAAAAACACAGCACUGUGCAAACACGAAAGUGGACGUAUACGGUGUGACGCCUGCCCGGUGCCGGAAGGUUAAUUGAUGGGGUUAGCGGCAACGCGAAGCUCUUGAUCGAAGCCCCGGUAAACGGCGGCCGUAACUAUAACGGUCCUAAGGUAGCGAAAUUCCUUGUCGGGUAAGUUCCGACCUGCACGAAUGGCGUAAUGAUGGCCAGGCUGUCUCCACCCGAGACUCAGUGAAAUUGAACUCGCUGUGAAGAUGCAGUGUACCCGCGGCAAGACGGAAAGACCCCGUGAACCUUUACUAUAGCUUGACACUGAACACUGGUCCUUGAUGUGUAGGAUAGGUGGGAGGCUUUGAAGUGUGGACGCCAGUCUGCAUGGAGCCGUCCUUGAAAUACCACCCUUUAAUGGCUGGUGUUCUAACGUAGACCCGUAAUCCGGGUUGCGGACAGUGUCUGGUGGGUAGUUUGACUGGGGCGGUCUCCUCCCAAAGAGUAACGGAGGAGCACGAAGGUUAGCUAAUCCUGGUCGGACAUCAGGAGGUUAGUGCAAUGGCAUAAGCUAGCUUGACUGCGAGAGUGACGGCUCGAGCAGGUGCGAAAGCAGGUCAUAGUGAUCCGGUGGUUCUGAAUGGAAGGGCCAUCGCUCAACGGAUAAAAGGUACUCCGGGGAUAACAGGCUGAUACCGCCCAAGAGUUCAUAUCGACGGCGGUGUUUGGCACCUCGAUGUCGGCUCAUCACAUCCUGGGGCUGAAGUAGGUCCCAAGGGUAUGGCUGUUCGCCAUUUAAAGUGGUACGCGAGCUGGGUUUAGAACGUCGUGAGACAGUUCGGUCCCUAUCUGCCGUGGGCGCUGGAGAAUUGAGGGGGGCUGCUCCUAGUACGAGAGGACCGGAGUGGACGCAUCACUGGUGUUCGGGUUGUCAUGCCAAUGGCACUGCCCGGUAGCUAAAUGCGGAAAAGAUAAGUGCUGAAAGCAUCUAAGCACGAAACUUGCCCCGAGAUGAGUUCUCCCUGAGACUUUAAGUCUCCUGAAGGAACGUUGAAGACGACGACGUUGAUAGGUCGGGUGUGUAAGCGCAGCGAUGCGUUGAGCUAACCGAUACUAAUGAACCGUGAGGCUUAACCU
rnacentral:rRNA from 1 species